rnacentral:rRNA from 1 species
UACGAGAGGCCCAAACGUUAUUCGGAAUUACUGGGCUUAAAGAGUUCGUAGGCGGCAUGACAAGUAGGGUGUGAAAGCCCUCGGCUCAACCGAGGAAUUGCGCUCUAAACUGUCGUGCUAGAGGAAGCUAGAGGUGAGCGGAACUGAUGGUGGAGCGGUGAAAUGCGCAGAUAUCAGGAGGAACACCGGUGGCGAAGGCGGGUCUCUGGGCCGUAACUGACGCUGAGGAGCGAAAGCGUGGGGAGCGAACAGG